rnacentral:rRNA from 1 species
ACAAGCGGAGGAGCAUGUGGUUUAAUUCGAUGAUACGCGAGGAACCUUACCUGGGCUUGAACGUAUGGUGCAUUAGGGUGAAAGCCCUAUUUCUAGCAAUAGACUUCAUACGAGGUGCUGCAUGGCUGUCGUCAGCUCGUGCCGUGAGGUGUUAGGUUAAGUCCUGCAACGAGCGCAACCCCUGUUCCAGUUGCCAUCAAGUAAAGUUGGGGACUCUGGAGAGACUGCCUGCGCAAGCAGAGAGGAAGUGGGGAUGACGUCAAGUCAGCACGGCCCUUACGUCCAGGGCUACACACGUGCUACAAUGGCCGGUACAGAGGGCAGCGACCUGGUGACAGGUAGCGAAUCUCCAAAGCCGGUCUCAGUUCGGAUCGGAGUCUGCAACUCGACUCCGUGAAGCUGGAUUCGCUAGUAAUCGGAUAUCAGCAAUGAUCCGGUGAAUACGUUCCCGGGCCUU